CAGAUGACCAUGAAUGCAGCUGAUGCUGUCAUUCCUGUGGAAAGCUCCCACCAUGCUGUCUUGUUAGAGACGCAGAUGACUGAAACUUUGAGUCCAUGAGACACUAAUCAACAGAUGACCAUGAAUGCAGCUGAUGCUGUCAUUCCUGUGGAAAGCUCCCAGCAUGCUGUCUUGUUAGAGACGCAGAUGACUGAAACUUUGAGUCCAUGAGACACUAAUCAACAGAUGACCAUGAAUGUAGCUGAUGCUGUCAUUCCUGUGGAAAGCUCCCAGCAUGCUGUCUUGUUAGAGACGCAGAUGACUGAAACUUUGAGUCCAUGAGACACUAAUCAACAGAUGAAAGGCACAGAUGUUGAAGAUUCAAAUGAAGUAUCCGACUCUAUACAAGUUUGUAUUGUUGCUUUCAGUUUUGUCUUGAGAGAACGCAAAUGAGCAGGACUCAAUAAAAAGUUUAAAUGUAUAA